rnacentral:rRNA from 1 species
AUUGAACGCUGGCGGCAUGCUUUACACAUGCAAGUCGAACGGUAACAGGCCGCAAGGUGCUGACGAGUGGCGAACGGGUGAGUAAUGCAUCGGAACGUGCCCAGUCGUGGGGAAUAACGUAGCGAAAGCUGCGCUAAUACCGCAUACGAUCUAUGGAUGAAAGCGGGGGACCGUAAGGCCUCGCGCGAUUGGAGCGGCCGAUGUCAGAUUAGGUAGUUGGUGGGGUAAAGGCUCACCAAGCCGACGAUCUGUAGCUGGUCUGAGAGGACGACCAGCCACACUGGGACUGAGACACGGCCCAGACUCCUACGGGAGGCAGCAGUGGGGAAUUUUGGACAAUGGGCGCAAGCCUGAUCCAGCAAUGCCGCGUGCAGGAUGAAGGCCUUCGGGUUGUAAACUGCUUUUGUACGGAACGAAAAGCCCUGGGUUAAUACCCUGGGGUCAUGACGGUACCGUAAGAAUAAGCACCGGCUAACUACGUGCCAGCCGCCGCGGUAAGAC